UUCAAGGAAAUAGUGAACAGUAUAACAAACAGAUGCAAUCAUUUUAUUCUUAGACACAGCAUUAAAUUUGGACGGUUUCGUACUUAUUUUAAAGAUUAUAAAAGUUGCAAAGGAAGUAAAAUUGAAAGAACUUCAUACCAACAUCUAUAGAAGCUUUCAGAGGGGACACACAAACCAAAGACACUGCAUUAAAUUUGGACGGUUUCAUACUGAAUUUGAAGACUAUAAAAGUUGCAAAGGAAGUAGAUUGAAAGAACUUCAUACCAACAUCUAUAGAAGCUUUCAGAGGGGACACAAGCCAAAGACACUGCAUUAAAUUUGGACGGUUUCAUACUGAAUUUGAAGACUAUAAAAGUUGCAAAGGAAGUAGAUUGAAAGAACUUCAUACCAACAUCUAUAGAAGCUUUCAGAGGGGACACACAAACCAAAGACACAGCAUUAAAUUUGGACGGUUUCGUACUUAUUUUAAAGAUUAUAAAAGUUGCAAAGGAAGUAAAAUUGAAAGAACUUCAUACCAACAUCUAUAGAAGCUUUCAGAGGGGACACACAAACCAAAGACACUGCAUUGAAUUUGGACGGCUUCAUACUGAAUUGAGACUAUAAAAGUUACAAAGGAAGCAACAUUGUAAGAACUUCUAACCAACGCCUGUAGAAGCUUUCAGAGGAGCCACAAACCAAAGAAAAAUAUGGAAUACGUUUGGCUGUUUUUCUGCACACUAAUUUGCGUACAUUUUAAUCACGUCUCAACAAACUCCUCCCCCAAAAUGACUACAAUUAUUGCAACCACACCAUCAUCAACAACUGGAGACACCACAGCAGGCUGGAAUACAACCACACCAGACAAUGGAUCCAACAGAUUAUCUGGUGGUGCGAAAGCCGGCAUUAUUUGUGCUUCAAUAUUUGUAUAUUUUGUGGGACUGUGAUUGUUGUACCUUGUUUAAGAAUAAAAAAUCUAGCCAAAAUAACGCCACAGGCUUAACCAUUUACAUAGAAGCCGUACAAAAAAAACAAAACAAUUAACACAAAAUAUGUUCGAUAUGUUAAAUAUUUUUGUGGUAGUAGUAGUAAUAGAAUUUAAGGUGUUUGAAACAUUUAAUUGCGGUAAUUAAGCUAUGGGAAUUGGAUGAACAUUUUCCAACAGAACGUUUUGGUUUUGGCUUAAGGAUAAUGAUGAAGGCAUAAUGAUAA